rnacentral:lncRNA from 1 species
UAAGCCCUUAGAACACUGAUAUAUCCACCUCCUGUAUCCACCGAGCAGCACUGAGCAACAGAAAUGUAACCCAAACCCAGCAUAGGAUCUGUGUCAAGGGAGAGAGCCAUCAGUCAUUCUCAUCUCUUGAAUUUCAUGGCCUCAUUGCUUCCUUCCCACCUGUAAUCACAGCUGUGCCUGUGUGACACACACUAGAGUGCUAGUGAUGGUUUAUGGGUUUCAAGGCUACAGUGUUGCAGACUCUGCCUGGCUCCCUUGGAUUACCUAGACUGGGGGAAGCCUUAAGCCCUCUCAUGACGACAUGGAAGUAGCCCUGUGGACAGCUACACAUGGAAAAACUGAGGUUCUCAGUCAACAACUGGUAUCAACUUGCCAGCCAUGUGAAUGAGCCACUUUGAAAGUAUAGCUCCCAGCUCAGCCAGGCCUUCAGAUGACUGCAGCCCCCACAUCUGGCAUCAAUCACCUAAGCCUUCGAGUGGGAAAUGUACAGCCAAGCCCUUCUAGAAACCCUGAUCUGC